CCAUAACCUCCGCCACGAGGUGCCCGGACGAUUCCGGGCGAAGAGGGAAUGCGCCGGGGCCGUUGCCCCGAACCGCAGCCGCCCCCGCGACUGUACGCGGCGAGCCGACACCCCGGGCCACUGGCGCAAGACGCGCCGGGAAGGCAGGUGCCGGUGAUGACCCGCGAGCCAGGAGACCUGCCUCGUGCCGCCGGCGCAG
rnacentral:ncRNA from 2 species